UGAGGAAUAUUGGUCAAUGGGCGGAAGCCUGAACCAGCCAAGUCGCGUGAGGGAUGACGGUCCUAUGGAUUGUAAACCUCUUUUGCCGGGGAGCAAAGACAGCCUUGCGAGGUUGUCCGGAGAGUACCCGGAGAAAAAGCAUCGGCUAACUCCGUGCCAGCAGCCGCGGUAAUACGGAGGAUGCGAGCGUUAUCCGGAUUUAUUGGGUUUAAAGGGUGCGUAGGCGGGAUGUUAAGUCAGCGGUAAAAUUGCGGUGCUCAACGCCGUACAGCCGUUGAAACUGAUAUUCUUGAGUGGGCGAGAAGUAUGCGGAAUGCGUGGUGUAGCGGUGAAAUGCAUAGAUAUCACGCAGAACUCCGAUUGCGAAGGCAGCAUACCGGCGCCCAACUGACGCUGAGGC
rnacentral:rRNA from 1 species